GAUGAACGCUGGCGGCGUGCCUAAUACAUGCAAGUCGAGCGAACAGACGAGGAGCUUGCUCCUCUGACGUUAGCGGCGGACGGGUGAGUAAAACGUGGAUAACCUACCUAUAAGACUGGGAUAACUUCGGGAAACCGGAGCUAAUACCGGAUAAUAUAUUGAACCGCAUGGUUCAAUAGUGAAAGACGGUUUUGCUGUCACUUAUAGAUGGAUCCGCGCCGCAUUAGCUAGUUGGUAAGGUAACGGCUUACCAAGGCAACGAUGCGUAGCCGACCUGAGAGGGUGAUCAGCCACACUGGAACUGAGACACGGUCCAGACUCCUACGGGAGGCAGCAGUAGGGAAUCUUCCGCAAUGGGCGAAAGCCUGACGGAGCAACGCCGCGUGAGUGAUGAAGGUCUUCGGAUCGUAAAACUCUGUUAUUAGGGAAGAACAAAUGUGUAAGUAACUAUGCACGUCUUGACGGUACCUAAUCAGAAAGCCACGGCUAACUACGUG
rnacentral:rRNA from 1 species